AACUAUUUGGAAGAAAUUCAAGAUUUCAAGGACGCACGGAUUUGAAUUUAACUGGAGGGGCUGAGAGCUGAGGGGAAGAGUGACAUAAAGAAGAGAGAAGUUCAUUAUCCAGCUGAAAAGGAAACCAAUGGCUUUCACAGUCUCCAUGGGAACCGGCCUUUCUUUUGCUGUCAAACCUAUGAUAAGAAACCCUCUCCUUUCUUCCGUUCCAAGGCAGCCCUUUUCAAACCGGGAAGCUCCAGGUCAGUUUCCCUUUCCAAGUUUUACGGCCUGCCAUGUUGUCUAUUCUGCUCAGCUAUUUAAAAAAUGUUGAAUAUCAACAAUGGCUUUCACUGGUGUAUUGUCAACUUUUGUAUGAAGCAAUCUUGGCUGAAUGAGAUGGGUCCCAGAGCAGGGAGGGCUUGGCUGCGGCAUGCACCGCAACACCACUGGCGCCUGCCUGGCUCUCUCUCUCUCUCUCUCUCUCUCUCUGCUGCAGGCAGGAUCAGGGAGGCAGGAGCAGCCGUCCCUCUAGUCCCUGUCUCAGCCCAGCCGUUGGGGUCUGCAUGGGGCUGGGAAAGCCACCCCCUCGUCAGUCCACUCCGCGAACCCAUCCUCAUCCUCCCCCUGCCUCUGGCCCUGUCGUCUGGGAGCCCCCGAAGGUGUGACACCUCACACAGGGAUCGGAGAGCAGGAGCCCCGGGGGUCAGUCAGAGCUGGGUGGAUCUGUCAGCACCCUAUACACUGUGCUGUGCUCUGGGUCUUCCCUCCCUCCCAGUCCUGAUCCUCAGGUGUCUGGCUGACUGGGUCUCUGGGUCUUCCCUCCCUCCCAGUCCUGAUCCUCAGGUGUCUGGCUGA
rnacentral:lncRNA from 8 species